rnacentral:tRNA from 1 species
AGUUUUAUAGUCAAAAUAAUGAUGUUAAAUUGCAAAUUUAAAGUUGAAUUUUAUUCUAAAACUU